AGUGAACGCUGGCGGUAGGCCUAACACAUGCAAGUCGAACGGCAGCACAGUAAGAGCUUGCUCUUACGGGUGGCGAGUGGCGGACGGGUGAGGAAUACAUCGGAAUCUACUUUUUCGUGGGGGACAACGUAGGGAAACUUACGCUAAUACCGCAUACGACCUACGGGUGAAAGCAGGGGAUCUUCGGACCUUGCGCGAUUGAAUGAGCCGAUGUCGGAUUAGCUAGUUGGCGGGGUAAAGGCCCACCAAGGCGACGAUCCGUAGCUGGUCUGAGAGGAUGAUCAGCCACACUGGAACUGAGAAACGGUCCAGACUCCUACGGGAGGCAGCAGUGGGGAAUAUUGGACAAUGGGCGCAAGCCUGAUCCAGCCAUACCGCGUGGGUGAAGAAGGCCUUCGGGUUGUAAAGCCCUUUUGUUGGGAAAGAAAAGCAGCAGGUUAAUACCCCGCUGUUCUGACGGUACCAAAAGAAUAAGCACCGGCUAACUUCGUG
rnacentral:rRNA from 1 species